rnacentral:rRNA from 1 species
AUUGAACGCUGGCGGCAGGCCUAACACAUGCAAGUCGAACGAGUGGCGGACGGGUGAGUAAUGUCUGGGAAACUGCCUGAUGGAGGGGGAUAACUACUGGAAACGGUAGCUAAUACCGCAUACCAUCGGAUGUGCCCAGAUGGGAUUAGCUAGUAGGUGGGGUAAUGGCUCACCUAGGCGACGCUCCCUAGCUGGUCUGAGAGGAUGACCAGCCACACUGGAACUGAGACACGGUCCAGACUCCUACGGGAGGCAGCAGUGGGGAAUAUGGCACAAGGGGCGCAAGCCUGAUGCAGCCAGGCCGCGUGGGUGAAGAAGGCCUUCGGGUGGUAAAGCACUUUCAGCGGGGAGGCGGUACCCGCAGAAGAAGCACCGGCUAACUCCGUGCCAGCAGCCGCGGUAAUUC